rnacentral:rRNA from 1 species
UACGUAGGGUGCGAGCGUUAAUCGGAAUUACUGGGCGUAAAGCGUGCGCAGGCGGUUUUGUAAGCCAGAUGUGAAAUCCCCGGGCUUAACCUGGGAAUGGCAUUUGGGACUGCAAGGCUGGAGUGUGGCAGAGGAGACUGGAAUUCCUGGUGUAGCGGUGAAAUGCGUAGAUAUCAGGAAGAACAUCGGUGGCGAAGGCGCUCUGCUGGACCAUAACUGACACUCAGGGACGAAAGCUAGGGGAGCGAAUGGG